rnacentral:lncRNA from 1 species
CCUUUUUCAUUUCGUAAAUUUGAAUAUAAUAAGGUCUAAACAUAAUAACAUGACUGUUUUUUUCUUUUCACUGUUCAUUAGCCUUUCAGCCAGCUAUCAUUUAUUCGCCACAGCUCAAACAGAGAAACAUUAAAAAUACUUUUUUUCCCCUUUCCAUUUGAAGGUGUUUUUCUCCUUUAAUUUGGUGCUUUUAUAUGCAUGUUGUUAAAGUUUUUAUGCAUACAUGAGCAGAGAGAAGAACAUCUGUAGCUUUCAACACAUUCAGCUCAUUAACCAAUAGUCAUUCCACAGUGUCCCACUGUUUGCUCUUUUUUUAUUCUUGUCUUUCAGAUUUUUCUUCUUCUGUAAAAUUGAUUCAUAUUAAUUUCUAAACUCAAUACAAAAGUGAAUGACUCAGAUGUUUCUAUUGAAUGUUUUGUGCUUUAGUAUCAUCUUGUAGUUCGAAUGCAACAUUUAAUGAAGAAAUGGCUUGAAAAAUGAAAUACACCGAAAGAGAAAUUUAUUCAGAUGAAUAAAAUUACCACCAUUUUUCAUACCAAGUGUAUAUAAGGCAUGCAUACAUAUUCUAAUACUUUAACUAAAGAAUUUACAUGUUUCUAAACACUGCAUUAGCAUUCUUUGCAUAUUUAUGAGGCUGAGAUUAGGCUUUAAAUGCUUCUGUCCAUCUGUGGAAAUGCCUAUUUAUAAUUUGAGUUUGCCUUGAUUGUUUCUCCCAGAUGCUGAGAAAAAAAAUGCAUCUGAGGGAACUCAGCAUUGUUUCGUUUAGAAUUGUUUUCUUGCAAAAAAAAAAAAAAGAGGUCAAACUGUCAGAGUAUACCUGAUGUCAUCCGUGUCGAUGUUCCUCAACAUGAACAUGACGACUUGUCUCCCAUCAUAGUUCUUUCGGGUUUUUGUUUUUCCUGUUUUAUGAAUAUUACAUUUUCAGACGUGCAAGUCAAGUCACGUCACCUGAAUUACAGCGCUUUACAGUACAGAUUAUGUCAGAGCAGCUUCACAGAGGUAAACAGAAAAAUCGAAGACUAAUGGAGGCAGUUCAGAUUCUGCUGUAAAGCAGUCAUAAAAGAGAAUAGUGUAAUUAUUUAGCUCAAGUAAGUUCGGUGUUGGUUCUGUUCAGAAUAAUUGUAUUUUAAUCAUGAUCACAAUUUCUGCUUCACUUGAUCAUCAGCAAUUUUUGGCCACUGGCAUUUGUGUUAUCUUGCGUUGGUUCCAAGCCUCCACAAGCUUUUAUAGUGGAGGUUGCCAGAUGUCAAAGGUUUAAAUUCCCCAAUCACAACCUUUUGCUUAAAUCGAUACAGUUUCUGCACAGUGGUUUACUUAAUCUUCCGACUUGGCAUCCAUGUGUGUGCACUCUCUCUGCAUUGCAGAGCUGAGCUGUAAAACCCUAGCAAAAAUGUAAGUUUUCUGCUCAAAUAAAAGUGUAAUACAGUCAGUCUGUUUUCUUGUGCAGUUUGCUGCAACUUAAUCUGAGCAAACCAUGCAAGUUGCAUGCGGUUCUCUUGAUUUGUGCUUAUGUGAAAGUGCAAUAAUUGUGAUAAAAUGUCAAAAAAUAUAUACAUAUAUAAUGAUAAUAAUAAUGGCUGAUACAAAAUAAUUGUGAUUAAUCGUUUAAACAUUAUCGUGCAGACCUAAUAACAGUGCGAAUUUAGUGUACUGCUUACAUAUACAUGUAGAUUGAUUAUAGGCAUAAAGUACCUUUUCAAUUUAUUAUUCCCUGUCCACUUAAACAGAAAGAGCAAUUAGACUGACAUAAAGAAAAACCAUUCGGAAUCUGUUUUGUUUGCACAGUUUGUAUAAUUUUUGGGCAUUUAUUUUGAAAUAUCAGAAAACAGAAGAAAUAAGUACGUGUGUAGACUUUGUAAUAGGGCCGCAUGAUAUAUCGAAAUAUCGCUAUUGUAAAUAUCGUGAUAUGCAUAUCGCAACGGCGUGCAAUAUCUGAAAUUAUACAGUGCCUCUAAAAUAAAGGAAAUAAUUUAUAAAACAAGCAACAAUUUCAUAAUUCCCAAGAAGUUAUCUGUCAAAAUAAAGGACCAGUAACCAAUAACAAAGUAGUGCGUGACAAAAAUACAUGCUGUUUUAUUAAAGGAAUUUAAAAAUAUAAAUUAAAAAUGUGUUUGUGACAAAUAUAGUCCUAAUAUGCGAGAAUAUUGACAUUUUGCAUAUAAAUCCAUGUAGCCUAGCUCACUAAAAUAGGCUACCACUUUUAAUGCGCCGAUGCAAAGUAAACCACCAUUUCUUUAGGAUAAUAUAACGCAUAAUUCAUAUUAUAUAAAUAAUACUGCACACCUAUUAAAUGUUUCAAAUCUAAAAUAUGGUGUAAUACUGUGUAGCUUACCAAACUUUCAUCUGUGAAUAUUAAAUAUUUUAACUACAGUGUUUUUCUUUAAUUUUCCCUGACUGCAGCAGUCAAAUGUAACACAUCGGCGAGGCAAAGCUGACUUCUGUUUGUGAAAAUGUGCUUUGAUGCGCUUGUUUGAUAACUUGUGGUUAAAGUGCCAC